UGCAAAUGGGCGGGAGAUAAGGCCCACUACCGUCUGAGGGAAAGGGUAAGGGUAAGGGUAACCGCACAUUAUCGGACAAUUAUCGGAUUCGGUAGUCGCGUUAUGAUGCGCCUACAAGAGACUUGGGAGUUGGCCGACAGGCCGUUGAAGUUUUUCUGUUUGAUGCAUUUAGGAUGCUGUUGCUGUUGAAGUGGUUGACUGGC
rnacentral:lncRNA from 1 species